rnacentral:tRNA from 1 species
CAAAAAAGAACUGAAGAGAGUGGGAUUCGAACCCACGCCCCCGAAGGGACUGGUGCCUUAAACCAGCGCCUUAGACCGCUCGGCCAUCUCUCCACAUGAGUUU